rnacentral:rRNA from 1 species
GACGAACGCUGGCGGCGUGCUUAACACAUGCAAGUCGAACGGAAAGGCCCUGCUUGCAGGGUACUCGAGUGGCGAACGGGUGAGUAACACGUGGGUGAUCUGCCCUGCACUUCGGGAUAAGCUUGGGAAACUGGGUCUAAUACCGGAUAGGAGCCAUCUUUAGUGUGGUGGUUGGAAAGUUUUUUCGGUGUAGGAUGAGCUCGCGGCCUAUCAGCUUGUUGGUGGGGUAAUGGCCUACCAAGGCGGCGACGGGUAGCCGGCCUGAGAGGGUGUACGGCCACAUUGGGACUGAGAUACGGCCCAGACUCCUACGGGAGGCAGCAGUGGGGAAUAUUGCACAAUGGGCGCAAGCCUGAUGCAGCGACGCCGCGUGGGGGAUGAAGGCCUUCGGGUUGUAAACUCCUUUCGCUAGGGACGAAGCUUUGUUGUGACGGUACCUAGAUAAGGAGCACCGGCUAACUACGUG